ACAAACUUGUUUCGUAUGACAAGCAAUGCUUGCCACACUCAUCAGCAUGAAUUCAAGAUGAUGAGUGUGGUAAUGAGUGUGGCAAGCAUUGCUUGUCAUACGAAACAAGUUUGUAG